rnacentral:rRNA from 1 species
UGUAUAAUGGGUCAGCGACUUAUAUUCUGUAGCAAGGUUAACCGAAUAGGGGAGCCGAAGGGAAACCGAGUCUUAACUGGGCGUUAAGUUGCAGGGUAUAGACCCGAAACCCGGUGAUCUAGCCAUGGGCAGGUUGAAGGUUGGGUAACACUAACUGGAGGACCGAACCGACUAAUGUUGAAAAAUUAGCGGAUGACUUGUGGCUGGGGGUGAAAGGCCAAUCAAACCGGGAGAUAGCUGGUUCUCCCCGAAAGCUAUUUAGGUAGCGCCUCGUGAAUUCAUCUCCGGGGGUAGAGCACUGUUUCGGCAAGGGGGUCAUCCCGACUUACCAACCCGAUGCAAACUGCGAAUACCGGAGAAUGUUAUCACGGGAGACACACGGCGGGUGCUAACGUCCGUCGUGAAGAGGGAAACAACCCAGACCGCCAGCUAAGGUCCCAAAGUCAUGGUUAAGUGGGAAACGAUGUGGGAAGGCCCAGACAGCCAGGAUGUUGGCUUAGAAGCAGCCAUCAUUUAAAGAAAGCGUAAUAGCUCACUGGUCGAGUCGGCCUGCGCGGAAGAUGUAACGGGGCUAAACCAUGCACCGAAGCUGCGGCAGCGACACUAUGUGUUGUUGGGUAGGGGAGCGUUCUGUAAGCCUGCGAAGGUGUACUGUGAGGUAUGCUGGAGGUAUCAGAAGUGCGAAUGCUGACA